rnacentral:rRNA from 1 species
GAUGAACGCUGGCGGCGUGCCUAACGCAUGCAAGUCGAACGGAAAGACGAGGAGCUUGUUCCUUUGACGUUAGCGGAGGGCGGGUGUGUCACGCGUGGAUCACCUACUUAUAUGACUGGGAUCACUUCGAAAAACCGGCGAUAAUACCAGAGAAUAUAUUGCACCGCAGGGUGCAUUGGAGAAAGACGGUUUUGGUGUCUGUUCUAGCUGGUUCCGGGCCGCAUGAGCUGGUUGGUGAGGUCAAGGCCUUCCACGGCAACGAGGCGUAGACGAACGGAGGGGGUGAUAGGCCACAUGGGAACGGAGACACGGUCCAGACUCCUACGGGAGGCAGCAGUAGGGUAUCGUCCGCAACGGGCGAAAGUUUGACGCAGUAACGCCGAGUGAGUGAUGAAGGCCCUCGGAUCGGAAUGCCCGCUUAUGGGGUAAGAACAACUGUGGAAUGAAACAUGGCCGUCGUGACGGUACUGAAUCAGAAAGCCACGGCUAACUACGUG